CGUAGGUGCAAGCGUUGUCCGGAAUUAUUGGGCGUAAAGAGCUCGUAGGUGGUUCGUCGCGUCUGCUGUGAAAGUCCGAGGCUUAACCUCGGAUCUGCAGUGGGUACGGCGGACUAGAGUGCGGUAGAGGAGAUCGGAAUUCCUGGUGUAGCGGUGGAAUGCGCAGAUAUCAGGAGGAACACCGGUGGCGAAGGCGGAUCUCUGGGCCGUAACUGAACGCUGAGGAGCGAAAGCAUGGGAGCGAACAGGCUU
rnacentral:rRNA from 1 species